rnacentral:tRNA from 1 species
UUUAAGAUGGCAGAUUAGUGUAUUGGUUUUAAACUCCAAAAAUAAAGUAUUUAACUUUUCUUAAAA